UCGAGAAUUUUUCUCAAUGGGGGAAACCCUGAAGGAGCGACGCCGCGUGAAGGAUGAAGGUCUUCGGAUUGUAAACUUCUGUCAUUAGGGAACAAAUCUUCCAGUUAACUGCUGGAAGUCUGAUAGUACCUGAAGAGGAAGAGACGGCUAACUCUGUGCCAGCAGCCGCGGUAAUACAGAGGUCUCAACCGUUGUUCGGAUUCAUUGGGCGUAAAGGGUGCGUAGGCGGCGGAGUAAGUCAGGUGUGAAAUCUCGGGGCUCAACCCCGAAACUGCACUUGAUACUGCUUCGCUAGAGUAUUGGAGAGGAGAUUGGAAUUUACGGUGUAGCAGUGAAAUGCGUAGAUAUCGUAAGGAAGACCAGUGGCGAAGGCGAAUCUCUGGACAAUUACUGACGCUGAGGCACGAAGGCCAGGGGAGCAAACGGG
rnacentral:rRNA from 1 species